GUCUGGUUUAAAUUUACCAAGAUGGAGAAUCCCACGAGCGGCUAAAGGGCUGCAGUUGGACUCGGAACUGGCUUUUCUUCUCCACGUAUUCAUGGAUUGAUGUUCCAGUGAAAACCAAGCAGUCGUGAUGGGAUUCCUGAUAGGCUACCUGAGGGGAGAAGUCUGUCUUCAUCGAUGGAACCAACAUCUCGCAGUUCAGCCAAUCGCAUUAGCAGGCUCCACCACACUGGGAAUUCUAAACAUGCGAGGUACGUGACAGAGAGCAGUAACACAGUGAAUCAUAAGGCGCAGGAUGUCGAGGAUAUAUUUAUGAGCGGGAAAAAUUGCAAUAUUAUAAUAUAUUCCUCUUUUGUGCGCUGGUUCCAUUCUGUGUAUCAUCUAAUUUAGAGGCCUUUGAAAUUUUUUAAACCUCACUUAAUUUACAACAGUCUCUGUUUUGAUUUGCCUGCAUAUAAAUAUUUUUGGGGUAAACUUUGCCUGCUGCGUGGACUUUGAUCACUUAUUUCUCUGUUGAAGAGCUAAAAUAUCUCUGAAUCAUUAUUUUUACAACAGCAUUUGGUUUCAAUAGCAAC